AAACCAGCACCUCAAGUGGUCAGGAUGAUUAUUGGGCCUAAAGCAUCCGUAGCCGGCUCUGUAAGUUUUCGGUUAAAUCUGUACGCUCAACGUACAGGCUGCCGGGAAUACUGCAGAGCUAGGGAGUGUGAGAGGUAGACGGUACUCGGGAGGAAGUGGUAAAAUGCUUUGAUCUCUCGAUGACCACCUGUGGCGAAGGCGGUCUACCAGAACACGUCCGACGGUGAGGGAUGAAAGCUGGGGGAGCAAACCGGAUUAGAAACCCUAGUAGUCC
rnacentral:rRNA from 1 species